AGCACUAAAAAGCAGUCAAGUGUAGGAAUAACUGGCAAAGUAGAUGGUAUUCGGAUUCGUUUCUGGCAAGUCUAACUUGUUUCUGUGGCAGGGUCAUAGGUCUUGUGGAUGGGAAAACUAAUAUUUUAUGGUAGUGAGGCCUUUGGAUUUUUUUUUUUUCAGAAAUAAUAUAACAUGGUCUAGAAGAAACAGAAGUUACGCUUCCUAAUCUUGAAAUGGGACAUGAUUAAAACAUUUUAUUUAUUUAUUUUUUUUUUUUAGCAUUUUCGAUAGUUUUAAGCUGACUGUCCAGUCAGUAUUGAUUGCAGUAAGUCUAAUUGAGUCAUCUUGUAAUUCCUUAGCAUUAUCUUGGAAGCUUAUAAAAUUUAAUGAGGAUUUUAAAUCCUUAUUCCACUCGGAAAACCAGCCAUAGUUUAGGAUGUUAAGAAUCACAGUACUUAAGAUGUGAAUCUAACCCAGAUGUUGAAGAACUCUUGCAAACAAUAGUGUUUAUUACCUGUUCUAAGUGACUCCCUUUGGCAAGAUUCUAAGUCUAAAAGAGACCCUACCACAGAAGAUGCCCACAGUCUACAGAUCCUUACAUCUGAGCCUAUCACAUUUGUUAGAGAAAAAGCUGUGUUUGGGUUUUGAGUUAGUAGUAAUCUGAUCUCUCUUUUGAAGUCUCCACAAGGGCACUUCAUCUACUCUCAGGCUCAUCAUUGUGCUUGUUCAUAUAUCAUAUUAAGAUAAUAAUUUGAUAAUUCAACCCCCCCCCCCUUUGUCUUAAUUGUCAUUUGAUUGAUCACUGUUACUACAUCUUCAAUUAGCUUGUUGAUGUUGGAGUAAAUUAGCUUAUUUCCUGAAGUUUAGAUUGGUUUAUCAUGUUUAGGAAAUUCCAAAGCAAGCUAAUAGAAUUGGAUUAUUCUGUCAAAAUGUAAUAUGAAGUAUGAAAUGGAAAGUAUGAGAAGCCUUGGGAAAAAAAUAAAAAUAAAAAUAAAAAUAUUGCAGAUGAGUAUGAGCAUCCAUGCAAUAUUGUGGUGUUUUUUCAUGUUUUUCAUUUCCUAAGGGUGUAUUGGCAUAUGUUCUCUGGAAGGAAUGCUGUUGUUUCAGGAAUGUUGAAUGUUGUGUCUCAGCCUUCUCUUGAAGGAAGCAUGUAAAAGCUUUCAAACCCAUGCUGUUUUAUUUUAUUGUUCUUGUGAUGGGUUUGGUGUUUAGAUACUUAAUAUACAUUGCACAGUGUAGUAAUCCUCGCAAUCUCUGUUAGAAUUUCUAGCCAAAAACUUCAAUGGAUGACAUUUAAGAUCCUGGUCUAUGGAAGAACAAAAGCAUCACUUUCUGUUUGAUUUUAUGCACGUGUAGAAAGUUUCGGAAUAGAUUUUACAAAAUCACCUUGAAAUAAGUUUUUGUUUGUUUGUUUGUUUGUUUGUUAAAAUGUAAGGUUUCACUUGCAUAAUGGUGCAAAGCUUCACAUGCUGACCUAUUGAUUCAUCUCUUCCUAUCUUGACCUGCAAAAAGGAUAUG